GUAAUGAGUUAUGCACACAUCAUUAACAAUACUUUCUCUCAGAGCAUAUGAUGCUGUGAAGGUCAAACCUUUGGAUAUGAUGGGAAAAUUAAUUAAUGCCUCAUCACAUAUCCUUAGUGAACUUUCCACACAGGAGUCAUUUAUCAACCUUACUUCCUGGACAUAAGGUAUUUUAUGUCACUUUGUUAUAAAAAUGAAUAUAUCUGAAUGGUUUAUGGUUCUCUCUCUGACAAAGUGGCUAUUCUGGAAUAAUAAGUGAUAUAAAAGAAUUUUGUACCCCUUCACUUUCUCUUGGGACAGAUUAGUGAAAUCACUCAGAUUUAUUGAGAGUAAGUACUCAAAGAUAGUGCUAAGGCAUAGGACCUGCUGAUAGAUAACAUGUACUAUAGUGGAAGAAAUGGAUUAUUAAAGAGUAUUUGAUUAAAAGUCACAGUGUACUUAACCGUCGUUGCAACAGAUAUAGACAGAAACAGCACCAGUGCUCAUGGAGAAAACUGGACCCAGGAACCACAGCCUCCUUUCAAUAACCAUGAGUAUCAGGAUGAAGAGGAGACCCCACAUGCUACAAGCACAAGUAAGAAGGAUGAUGCACUGAAGUUCUGGUACCCAAGUUAUCAGAGAUGUUGUUUAGCUGUUGGCCACAUCCUUUGUGUCUGCACAGUAAAUUUAUCUGCAGAGCCUGAAAAGGACCAUUUUUAAAAAUAAGGAAGAAAGAUGCCAAGUUGUCAGAUUUUCCAAGAGACAAGAAUGUUUGCAAAGUAGAUGUGAGAUGCUGGUUUUCUGUUAAGGGUUCCUAAACUGUUCUGUUUUGGUAGUUGUUGUGUGCUUUUGGAAAUGUGUGUUGCGAGUGUGCCCUUCAGGUAUUUAGUGUGGGAUCUUGGAGGAAGGCUUCCUGAGUGGGCAGAUCUUUAAAACCUUCAUCUUCUCUGUGGUACAAUGGAACCCCUUCUGUCCUUGGUGGAAAGUCAGUGGCUCAUAUAGUCUCUUUUGAACUCUAAGCUACCUACUUCUUUUGUUUAAAAUACUCAGGGCAAGUUGAGAAAAGUCCUGAUGCUCCUACUGUUCUUUCUGCUUAUAGACAAAUAGCUCAAGUUUUUAAAAAAACAAUCUCAUGUUUCAUCAAUGGAUUGUGAACCUAGGAUAAGAAAAC
rnacentral:lncRNA from 1 species